rnacentral:rRNA from 1 species
GAAUUUUGGACAAUGGGGGCAACCCUGAUCCAGCCAUCCCGCGUGUGCGAUGAAGGCCUUCGGGUUGUAAAGCACUUUUGGCAGGGAAGAAAAGGCUCUGGCUAAUACCUGGAGCUGCUGACGGUACCUGCAGAAUAAGCACCGGCUCACUACGUGCCAGCAGCCGCGGUAAUACGUAGGGUGCAAGCGUUAAUCGGAAUUACUGGGCGUAAAGCGUGCGCAGGCGGUUCGGCAAGAAGGAUGUGAAAUCCCAGGGCUUAACCUUGGAACUGCAUUCUUAACUGCCGGGCUAGAGUAUGUCAGAGGGGGGGUAGAAUUCCGCGUGUAGCAGUGAAAUGCGUAGAGAUGCGGAGGAAUACCGAUGGCGAAGGCAGCCUUCUGGCAUCAUAUUGACACUGAGGUUCGAAAGCGUGGGUAGCAAAC